GAUGAACGCUAGCUACAGGCUUAACACAUGCAAGUCGAGGGGCAGCAUGGUCUUAGCUUGCUAAGGCCGAUGGCGACCGGCGCACGGGUGAGUAACACGUAUCCAACCUGCCGUCUACUCUUGGACAGCCUUCUGAAAGGAAGAUUAAUACAAGAUGGCAUCAUGAGUCCACAUGUUCACAUGAUUAAAGGUAUUCCGGUAGACGAUGGGGAUGCGUUCCAUUAGAUAGUAGGCGGGGUAACGGCCCACCUAGUCUUCGAUGGAUAGGGGUUCUGAGAGGAAGGUCCCCCACAUUGGAACUGAGACACGGUCCAAACUCCUACGGGAGGCAGCAGUGAGGAAUAUUGGUCAAUGGGCGAGAGCCUGAACCAGCCAAGUAGCGUGAAGGAUGACUGCCCUAUGGGUUGUAAACUUCUUUUAUAAAGGAAUAAAGUCGGGUAUGGAUACCCGUUUGCAUGUACUUUAUGAAUAAGGAUCGGCUAACUCCGUGCCAGCAGCCGCGGUAAUACGGAGGAUCCGAGCGUUAUCCGGAUUUAUUGGGUUUAAAGGGAGCGUAGAUGGAUGUUUAAGUCAGUUGUGAAAGUUUGCGGCUCAACCGUAAAAUUGCAGUUGAUACUGGAUAUCUUGAGUGCAGUUGAGGCAGGCGGAAUUCGUGGUGUAGCGGUGAAAUGCUUAGAUAUCACGAAGAACUCCGAUUGCGAAGGCAGCCUGCUAAGCUGCAACUGACAUUGAGGCUCGAAAGUGUGGGUAUCAAACAGGAUUAGAUACCCUGGUAGUCCACACGGUAAACGAUGAAUACUCGCUGUUUGCGAUAUACAGCAAGCGGCCAAGCGAAAGCGUUAAGUAUUCCACCUGGGGAGUACGCCGGCAACGGUGAAACUCAAAGGAAUUGACGGGGGCCCGCACAAGCGGAGGAACAUGUGGUUUAAUUCGAUGAUACGCGAGGAACCUUACCCGGGCUUAAAUUGCAGAUGAAUUACGGUGAAAGCCGUAAGCCGCAAGGCAUCUGUGAGGGUGCUGCAUGGUUGUCGUCAGCUCGUGCCGUGAGGUGUCGGCUUAAGUGCCAUAACGAGCGCAACCCUUGUUGUCAGUUACUAACAGGUUCCGCUGAGGACUCUGACAAGACUGCCAUCGUAAGAUGUGAGGAAGGUGGGGAUGACGUCAAAUCAGCACGGCCCUUACGUCCGGGGCUACACACGUGUUACAAUGGGGGGUACAGAGGGCCGCUACCACGCGAGUGGAUGCCAAUCCCAAAAACCUCUCUCAGUUCGGACUGGAGUCUGCAACCCGACUCCACGAAGCUGGAUUCGCUAGUAAUCGCGCAUCAGCCACGGCGCGGUGAAUACGUUCCCGGGCCU
rnacentral:rRNA from 1 species